UGUUGAUGUACAGAUGAACAAACCAUUGGACUUUGACACCGAGAGACCGCUGUUGACUUUCUGUUUCCUGGCCGUGGUCAGCACCGGUGAAUCCACCCGGCCAGUGGAAUCUUGAAAGAGGUUCUCAGGAAUUUAAACAUGAAAUGGUUUGACACAAACGAAAGUUGAAGAGUCAACACCUAAAGCAGGAAAUAGGAGAGUAGAGGAGGGUGCAGCCUGUUCAGAGGGACAGUGACGCACACACUAAGACACAGACACAGACACAGACACAGAGACCGACACAGACACAGACACAGACACAGACACUUCACUGUAGAGACCCUGCUGAGUGAGGAGGAGAAUGAAGAUGAAGAUGAAGCUGCUUUUUGUUCCUAUUGUGAUGGUUAUGAUGUCAGUGCCGGGUCUGACAACAUUUACUCGAAGACCUAGAACUACUACAUGGACAACAGGUGGUCCUGCAGUAAAUUUGGAUGGGAAGAUGUUCACCUUAUCUUCUAAUGGAGGAGGAAUCUCCUUCUAUCCCCCCUCCACCACCAAACAGUGGACCACCACCACCCCUAAGACCACCACCACCACCCCUAGGACCACCCCACCACCCCUAGGACCACCACCACCACCCCUAGGACCACCACCACCACCGCUAGGAC